rnacentral:rRNA from 1 species
UACAGAGGCCUCGAGCGUUAGGCGGAAUCACUGGGCUUAAAGCGUGUGUAGGCGGACUUCUAAGUACCUUGUGAAAUCCCACGGCUCACCCGUGGAACUGCUCGGUAUACUGGUCGUCUUGAGCCUUCUAGGGGCGAGUGGAACAAAUGGUGGAGCGGUGGAAUGCGUAGAUAUCAUUUGGAACGCCAAUGGUGAAAACAACUCGCUGGGGAAGUGCUGACGCUGAGACACGAAAGCCAGGGGAGCGAACGGG